CGCAUCUGUGCAUGCAGCAUAUCAAUAAGCGGAGGAAAAGAAACUAACAAGGAUUCCCCUAGUAACGGCGAGUGAAGCGGGAAGAGCUCAAAUUUGAAAUCUUAAAGGGUUUCCCUUUACGAAUUGUAGUUUAAAGAGGUGUUUUCUGUUGAGGUUUUGGUAAAAGUUCUUUGGAAUAGGACAUCAUAGAGGGUGAGAAUCCCGUAUUUGACCUUUACUUUCAACUUUGUGAUACACUUUCAAAGAGUCGGAUUGUUUGGGAAUGCAGUCCAAAAUGGGUGGUAAAGUUUCAUCUAAAGCUAAAUAUUGGUGAGAGACCGAUAGCGAACAAGUACCGCUGAGGGAAAGAUGAAAAGAACUUUGAAAAGAGAGUUAAACAGUACGUGAAAUUGUCAAAAGGGAAGCGUUUGACACCAGUGUUGUUUUUCUGAAAAUCAAUUAAAGAACUGUUUAUGCUAAGCUGUUUAGACUUUAUCAGCUAACUGUUUAGUUUUGAGCUUUUCUUUAAUGCACUUUUCAGUUAACAAGUCAACAUCAAUUUCUUUUGCUGUAAAAAAGCUUGAGGAAGGUGGCUUGAGAUUCGUCUUAAGUGUUUAUAGCCUCUUGCCUAUGCAGUCGGAGAGAUUGAGGUCUGCAGCGUAGAUCCUUCGGGGCUAAAUGCAUUUGUGCUAAGUUAUAGCAUUUUAUAGACAACUUGUUGACUAUGAUUUGUCUUGUAGCUUACUCGCUUAUGUUAUUUUACCUACGCUUAGGAUGUUGAGUCAUCACACAUCUCU
rnacentral:rRNA from 1 species